UGCCUCUUUCUUUCAUUCAGUUUGUGCUGAUUGUACCUACCUCAAGAGAAGGCCUGGGGACAGACCUCUGUGGAGGGAAAAGGUGACCAACAAUCAAAGAAGAUUGCUGAGUCUGGAAGGAUUUACAACAUGCUCCUGCUAUUUGUUUUUCCCUGUUUUUCACAUGCCUGAAGGGAUACUCCCCAGGCAUAAAUAAAAUAGGCAAGAUACAUUCCCCCCUUUUUUAGCUCAGUCAGUUCUAUUCUGCUCUCCCUCAGUGCACCCUGUUGGAGACCUCUUCUCCCAGGGCCAUGAGAUGGUUGCAGGGAUAUUGCAGAAGGGGUGAAUGCCACUGGGAACUGAAGUGCUGCCCUCCUUGCCACAGACCUCAUGGUAUUUCAGCAGCACAGCCAUCGUGCACUCAGCUGUGUCCCCUGCAGGGACCUCAUCAAGCCUGUUGCAGCUGUUCCAUAGAGGAACUGCCAGGUGCUCGACCAUGGGAAUAGGCAGCAUCAUUCAGCCUGAGGGUGCCAAAAUGCUCAGGGCAGGUGGAGGAGCUUGUGUGGGUCUGUAUUUGCUGGGUGCUUACAGGCACGGGCAGUGUGCUGGACACCUUCGGCAGCCCCGUGUUCAGGCAGUGGCAUCUUUCAUUCCCUCUGUGUGUUAGGCUGUCUGCUUCAAGAAACAAAUAAUAAAACUGUCAGUUUGAGAUUCCUGGUAUUUAUCAGCCUGUCCCCAGCCAGAGCACUCAUGGCUAAGAAUAUUCCUUGGGAAGAUACAAGAAUUUCACUUUAUUUACAGAAUGAGCCCUGUUCCUGCUCCCAGGUUUAAGGCAGCCGUUACUGGUGUUGGCCUUCUACCAGUUUGGGGUCCCAGGUCUGCAGCCAGGAGAAGCCUCGUGCCUAGAGAGGCAUUAGGCAGACCCUGCAUCACCUAGAGCAGGAAUUCAAGGAGCUGCUUCUUCCCAGGAGGGCACUUAGCAAUGAGGAGGAGCGGAGCCAGAGCUGGCCAGUGGCCCCACAGAUCUACUUCACUGGCACACUUCAAGUCUCUGCAAGUUGUGCUGAAGGGAUUUCACAUGCCCUCCAAGAGCUCCUUCCCUCCCUCCUACUGUUGCACAUGGCAAAUGGACACAGUGAAGAAUUUUCUCUUUGAAUCUAUUUUGCCUUUCAAAAAAACAGUGGUGAACAUACCAUGCAGCCAGAAUUGCAUAGGGCAGCAGUCACUGGGAGGCGUGCACCCCUGACAAGUCUUCUGGGACAACUGGCAGCUCCAGGAUCAUGAGGUCCGGACAUUUUUGUACUGAAUUCCCUCAAGACCUUUUCCAACUGUGAAUAUGCAGCUCUCUCUCUCUCUCUCUGUUUCUCUCUGUCUUUGAAUAAUCCUUUGCAUAACAGAAUAUUCUGGAUGGGAACAAACAAAUCUUCAGGCAGCUCUAGAGAAUGAUGCAGAAAACAAUGGGCUGAACCAAUUUUGCUUUCUCCUCCAAACUCUCUUGUGGCUCUUGAUUGUCUCUGCCUAUUUGUUUAUUGCUGCUGCUUUCUUGUGGAAGAAAUUUGGUUUGUUAACCUGAUUAUCUUUGUUUUGAAAUGAUAAAUGACUUCACCCUGGUUGCCAAUAGUCCAUGAUGCCUGGAAAAUAAAUCUGUGAGUCCAAGUUGUACUAACAACUCACUGAUUUCUUUGGGGAAAUAUGAACAAAAUUAAUAUGAUGCUUAUGUAAUCACUUACUAAAGCUAUGACUAAUUUGCAUCCUGGCGGUGAUAAGAGGAGAUAAGAAGAUGUGGCAUAAAUUAUACUCCUGUUUUUCUCCAUCCAUCUCUCUGGAGCCCGAGGGUGCUUGUUCACAGCUGCAGAGGUGUGCCUCUGAACCAAGCCACCACAAUCACACCAUCAGAGAGGUGCUGAAGCCGAGCUGAAGAGCCUCCCCAGGUCCGUGCUCUCUUGUGCUAGGCUGGCCUUGGCUGCUGGGCUUUCCCCAUACCCCUAGUCUCUUCCUUCUAGGAGACUGGAAGAAAGGGCUGGUAGGAAUUUCUUUGGACUUUUUCUGCAGCAUCUGCCAGAGAUAACCCAGUGCAGAAAUCACGCCCCAGCCUUGCAGGGCAUAAAUCAUCUAGACUAAACCAUCUCUUUUAUAGCAAGGCAUGCACAGUUUUAGAAAACUGGCAUUCCUUCUUCCUCUAGCCCUGAAUAUUGUUUGUUUUGUUCAAGGUUUGUGCACAGGGCAGUUCCCCACUGCUGCUGCAGCAUGGGAGUCAGAGAAACCAGGCAGCUUGUAUCAGCCGCUGGAGUAACUGCAUGCUCCCAACUUUGCUGUACAGCAAUGUGAUAACUAAAUUGCCUUUUAAGCGAAGAGCCACGACUUUUUAAUCUUGUUAUCUUAAGCAGUGUUAUUGGAUGCUGAAACAUUUUAUUAUGUGUGGGAGGAGGGCUCAUUCAAGGCACCCAACUCCUGCUCCCCAGGGCUGCCGUUAGCACAGCCUGUACCGAGCCGUCCUGCUGCACAGACAGGCUGGUUUUCUGGGGCACUCUCCCUUGUGCCCUCCCUGACCACUGCAAGUGAGACUGCACUGCAGCCUUUCCCUUGCUGGGAAUAUUAAUUUGGGUGUCCCUCCUUUUGUGUAGCCACCUAGUGCCAUUACACACAAUGCCUCCACCUCUGUCCAAUUUAACAAGAAAGGAAGGCAGCAGGUUCAAAAAAAGUUCAGAGGGGUGUGGGAUUGACAGAUGUGCAUGCACACUGUCACUGCAGAAAUCGGUUUUCUUUAGGAAGUUGGGCUGAAAAUGAGGCUAGUGUACCUUUUCACAGCAUGGUCUGUAUUCUGAAGGCAUGUCAGUACAGGGCAGUAUUGAGCCUUGCAUGUCCUGAGCCAGUUCCAUCUGAGCCUUUAUGUCAAUGACACAGUGUGUACUGAGAUAAGUUUGUAUACUGGAAGCAUCUCUUCUGUCCAGGGGCAGCUGUGCUGUUUCUGGCUUGGGAGCCAGUUCAUCCAGCAUCAGGCUGAGGAGCUCUGCGGUACAUUGCAUUGUGCAAUGCAGACAUAUCCAAUUAAUUCAUCUGAAUAGUGGAAUUCCCUUAAAAUGUUGCUCUCCAAGUAGAGACUAGAGGCCAAAUUUGAGGUCAUUUGAACAAAGUACACCAAAGAUGCAACCUCUGCUUAAAAACAUCAUAUGCCAUCCCAGUCUUACUCCUCAUGCAGUAUUUUAUUUGCUGGUUGUUAACACAUCUGGAUAUCAAACCAUGACUCUAAUCCUCCCCAGGCUGUUAUCAGGUCCUGUACUUGGAGUAUGGCAUUUAGUAUGGAAUGGUGUUUGACACCCAACGGCCCUUGGAGAGGUAAUGUUAGGAAAAGUAAUGAGGGUACAGUUCUGAUCUCUCUGGAUUAGGUAAAGGAAGUUAGGGAUGCACGCACAGUAGGACAUGGUUUAUGGGCACUUAGUUGUGAUGGCUGUGGGGAUAUGAACUGCAGGAUUGCUAACUUUUCACCUGCAAGCUGCAAGGAAAUAUUUUUUUUCCUUUCACAUUUCUGCCCCAAGAGCAGAGCUUUCACCCUAACAGGCAGUGUUUCAAAGGGCUCUGAAAUUACACGCAUGCUCAAUUUCUUCUGAAAGCUCUUGUGCCUUAGCAGGGCCGGAGGAUAAAUUUAGUCUGGGACCACUUGACACAGCAUGUUCUGCAGAUACUGCCUCCCCACACACAUAUGCAGCUGCCUUCCAUAUCCAGAGUGCUCUAAAAGCUCCAACCUGCCCACCCCCAAUAAACACAAAUACUGAUUUGCUGCAGCAAGGAUGUUUGGCAGAAGUGGGGAGUCCUUCUUUCAAAGGAUAUGUGGGGUGGGGACCACAGCAAGAGAGCCGUCUACAACAUUUUCCAGACUUUUACAGUGCAUAGCAGGAAAGCAAAACAAAACAAAACAAAGAAGAAAAAAACUUUCCACAAAUAGGCUCUCUGACCUUGCACCAGUCUUUAAGCAUGACAUGUUAUCACAGUCCAGAUGCUUUACUGCCUCCUUCUGAAGAGACUUGACAUCUAGCAUUUCCUCACAGACCCCUCACUGAGGGACACUGACUCUGCAGCGAACUUGCACAGGGUCCGCCUGUGCCUGCAGCAAAUGGGGCCAGAUCUCAGGCACGUCUCAUGUCUCUCUCCUCAUGACAGCUUAUGUAGGCAGUGCUGGGAUAGGAUGGUUGGUUUGGUGGGAGUCAUCAGGGACCACAUGGGGAAUGUGGCACAGCUGCCAUGCCCUCAAAGCAUCACAGAAAUGAAUGGCAGUUAUGUAAGGAGAUUAGUUGUGCCUGAUACUUUCCAGAACACAAAGUCAACACUUAAAGGCCUAAAGUAUAAUUGACUUAAACCUCCCUGUACUGGGAAAUCUGGAACUUGCCUUCUGCAAUAGCCCUUUCACAACCACCUUAACUCUGCCCCUGUUUGAAAUGCUUCUCUAACCACUGUGAGAGCUCACCAGACUGCCAACUUCCCAGCCCUGUGAAGAACAAUAUGGGAAUGUACAGGAGUCCUGUGAAGGGACAGGGAGGCCUCUUGGGGAAACGAUGAAUUUAAGUCAGAUGUAAUGAAGUAGGAGCUAACUCAGCCCUAUGUGUCCUCACUUGCCUGUCCCACUCAGAUGGAGUGCAGGCUCUGAAGGAGCUCAUGGGCAGACAAUAAAGACAUGGAGCAAUGCUUAAGCCUCUGAACCUCUCUGCUCCUCGUGAGGCAAAGAGAUGGAGCCAUUCCAAGUCACUUCCAUUCACUCCUGGAGCCUCUCAAAUGGAGAGCAGCAGUAUUUAAUGACAGCCAUAAAUCAUUAAGUAAUUAAGCACGCAAGCUAUAAAACACAUGUGCAAACAAACCUUGUGCAGUGAUGUGUACGUAGAGCUUGAGGUUAGAAAGCUAGCACAUUGCUACAUUCCUACAAAAACAUACCCAUCGCUGCACUGGAGAUCAAGAUAAUCUGUGUGGGGAAAUACUCCUCUUUCUCCCAUGAGCUAUUGUUAUUGGCCUGAAAAAUUUCAUUACCAUAGUUAUAUGGGAGUUAGUAACCAGGGCUAAAGUUCAGGCAGCCAAGUCUUAAAAAUGUUGGCACAUUUCGUGAAGCAGGGAUGCCAAUUCCAUCCCUGUUUAUUCCAGUGUUUUUGUAUUAUAUCCUAGCAGUCUUUAUAAUCUGAUAAUUUUGCCAAAUCCCUUCACUUUUUCUUGCAUUUUCCAGGGAGUGUGUAUCUUCCCAGAUCUUUGGCAGAACAUAUGAGAGCAGUCUGGCCUGUUGGUGGAGCAUGGCAGGAGCAACCACCAAGGGCUAUGUCAGCAGACACUUACUUCGGACUCUUCGUGACUGAGUAAGCAAGGGAUGUCACCAGGUGAACUCACAAGAGUUUUUCCCCUGCCACAGCAGUGUCUAUGAGAUGUGCUGGGAUCUGUGUGUCUUCAGCUCCUACUGGGAUGGCACCUCCAGACUACCACCAGAUCCAGAGAGAGGGGAACCUCCCCUUCACCUUCAGACACUGAGUUUUGAAAGAUGGAUAUUUUUAAUUUUAUCUGUGAUGAAAUAGCUGAUACACAUUCCUAGCAUUUGGAGGGGCCUUCAUGAAAGGGCUGACUGACUUCCUUCUUUUAUUAGUCUUGGAUGAUACUGUACUAGCUCCUCUGGUGCAUGCAUGCAUUUGUAGCCCUUGGGAGCCUAGAUGACCAGCUGGAACGUGAUUUCCUAAGUCAUCAGCGGGGAGAGGGAUGCAGCCCUGAGGCUGCUCCCUCCUCCUCCUGCCUUGCCUCCUGGCAGAGAGCUAACAAGACAACAGGAUGUUUCUCAUUUGGGUUUGAUGUUAUUUUCCCCACACUGUAAUAUCAUAGAAGAACCAAGGGCAGAUAGUGCUCUUUGAUCUGAGCACGAGAGAUAAUUAUAAACAUGCUGGCAGAAAACGUUUUUAUAUAACCAUACAAGUGUUUCAAAGCAGUGCAAAAAGCAGGAAGGUGGGAUUAAGAUAUACCCAAAAUGAAAUGAUUAUGUUAGACCGGAUGGAUUCAUUUUGUGCCAAACUCCUCCCCACCUCCCGCCAGCAAAUAAUAUUGCCAGAUGGUAAGAGGUUGAAAAUUUCUGGUCAUGUUUGUAAAAGCUAUCACUUCACUGAAUGUGUAGAUCUGCCCACAGACCUGAAGGAAUAUGUGAUCCCAAACAACAAAGAUACAUUCAUACUGGUAAAUAUGGUGAUCUGUUAGCUACUGAACACCUUGGGCCUGUUUCCCCAGGUCGCAAUGCACUGAGGUAUCUGGCACUGCUAAUAUCCAAUUUGGGGCCGUAGUGUGGAUUUACUUCAGGAAAAACUGAUAACAGACUGGAAGGGGCAUUUUCUAUGUAUUGAACCACAAGGGCAGUUCAAGAAAAGAUGACAAGCAUUCAUUGCUGGAGGAAGGACGUGUAACUCAAAGCCCAUCCAUGGCAGCAGCACUACUUUGUCAUGUCUCAGUCUCAAGGAGUUAACUCAGGAGUGGCUCUUCCUAAGUCUCUGGUAGCAUAACAGCAUAAAUACAGCAUGAAUGGGGAGGCAUUUGGGGCUCUGGUUGUCUGCAGAGCAAAAUGUCAUUCAUUGCAUCACUGGGUUAUACAAGUUGUUUAGUGCUGUGAAAUGUUUCACAGGCUGACGGUCUAAAUGCCAAUGCCCAGCCCCGAGUGAUUGUUCUGGUGACACUGCCCUCAGUUGAAUUGUGUCAGCAAGAUUGAAUUUGAUCAUACGCAUGUAAAAACUUAAUAUAUUCAGAUCUGAUGUCCCACAGGCAUUCAGGGAAGGGUGGAAAUGUGUGACCUAGUUUUAGGGAGGACGACCAUUGCUUUCCUCUCCCUUAAUGAUUUAGACUUUGAGGUAGAUUAUGUACUUCUGCUGCAGAAGAUGGCAGGGUCAGAAGUCUGGGUACCACAGACCACAGAGGGCUUUGAUAUGAAACCAAAAGUGCUACAGGAUUUUGCUAGAUCUAGAAAGAAAAGAAAAAAAAAAAAAAAAAAAGCAAGAAGAAA